rnacentral:rRNA from 1 species
GACGAACGCUGGCGGCGUGCUUAACACAUGCAAGUCGAACGGAAAGGCCCUGCUUUUUUGGUGUUCUCGAGUGGCGAACGGGUGAGUAACACGUGAGUAACCUGCCCUUGACUUUGGUAUAACUUCAGGAAACUGGGGCUAAUACCGGAUAGCAUCUCCUGCUGCAUGGUGGGGGUUGGAACUUCUCGGCGGUUGGGGAUGGACUCGCGGCUUAUCAGCUUGUUGGUUGGGGAGUUGCUUACCCAGGCUUUGACGGGUAGCCGGCCUGAGAGGGUGAACGGGCACAUUGGGACUGAGAGACGGCGCAGACUCCUACGGGAGGCAGCAGUGGGGAAUAUUGCACAAUGGGAGGAAGCCUGAUGCAGAAACGCCGCGUGCGGGAUGACGGCCUUCGGGUUGUAAACCGCUUUAGCCUGUGACGAAGCGUGAGUGACGGUAAUGAGUAAAGAAGCACCGGCUAACUACGUG